GACGGAGGAUGCAAGCGUUAUCCGGAAUGAUUGGGCGUAAAGCGUCUGCAGGUGGCAGUUCAAGUCUGCUGUCAAAGACCGGGGCUUAACUUCGGAAAGGCAGUGGAAACUGAACAGCUAGAGUAUGGUAGGGGCAGAGGGAAUUCUUGGUGUAGCGGUGAAAUUCGUAGAUAUCAAGAGGAACACCUGAGGUGAAGACGGGUUGCUGGGCUGACACUGACGCUGAUGCGCGAAAGCCAGGGGAGCAAACGGG
rnacentral:rRNA from 1 species